rnacentral:rRNA from 1 species
ACGGAGGAUGCAAGCGUUAUCCGGAUUUAUUGGGUUUAAAGGGUGCGCAGGCGGAAUGAUAAGUCAGUGGUGAAAGCUUUCGGCUUAACCGGAAAAUUGCCAUUGAUACUAUUGUUCUUGAGUACAGUUGAGGUAGGCGGAAUGUGUCAUGUAGCAGUGAAAUGCUUAGAUAUGACAGAGAACACCGGUAGCGAAGGCAGCUUACCAAGUUGAAACUGACGGUCAUGCACGAAAGCGUGGGGAUCAAACAG